rnacentral:rRNA from 1 species
UGGGGAAUUUUGGACAAUGGGCGAAAGCCUGAUCCAGCAAUGCCGCGUGUGUGAAGAAGGCCUUCGGGUUGUAAAGCACUUUGUCCGGAAAGAAAUCCUUGGCUCUAAUACAGUCGGGGGAUGACGGUACCGGAAGAAUAAGCACCGGCUAACUACGUGCCAGCAGCCGCGGUAAUACGUAGGGUGCAAGCGUUAAUCGGAAUUACUGGGCGUAAAGCGUGCGCAGGCGGUUUGCUAAGACCGAUGUGAAAUCCCCGGGCUCAACCUGGGAACUGCAUUGGUGACUGGCAGGCUAGAGUAUGGCAGAGGGGGGUAGAAUUCCACGUGUAGCAGUGAAAUGCGUAGAGAUGUGGAGGAAUACCGAUGGCGAAGGCAGCCCCCUGGGCCAAUACUGACGCUCAUGCACGAAAGCGUGGGGAGCAAACGGAUA